rnacentral:rRNA from 1 species
UGGGGAAUAUUGGACAAUGGGCGCAAGCCUGAUCCAGCCAUGCCGCGUGAGUGAUGAAGGCCCUUGGGUUGUAAAGCUCUUUCACCGGUGAAGAUAAUGACGGUAACCGGAGAAGAAGCCCCGGCUAACUUCGUGCCAGCAGCCGCGGUAAUACGAAGGGGGCUAGCGUUGUUCGGAUUUACUGGGCGUAAAGCGCACGUAGGCGGACUAUUAAGUCAGGGGUGAAAUCCCGGGGCUCAACCCCGGAACUGGCUUUGAUACUGGUAGUCUUGAGUUCGAGAGAGGUGAGUGGAAUUCCGAGUGUAGAGGUGAAAUUCGUAGAUAUUCGGAGGAAAACCAGUGGCUAAAGCGGCUCACUGGCUCGAUACUGACGCUGAGGUGCGAAAGCGUGGGGAGCAAACAGG